rnacentral:rRNA from 1 species
GAUGAACGCUGGCGGCGUGCCUAAUACAUGCAAGUCGAGCGAACAGACGAGGAGCUUGCUCCUCUGACGUUAGCGGCGGACGGGUGAGUAACACGUGGAUAACCUACCUAUAAGACUGGGAUAACUUCGGGAAACCGGAGCUAAUACCGGAUAAUAUAUUGAACCGCAUGGUUCAAUAGUGAAAGACGGUUUUGCUGUCACUUAUAGAUGGAUCCGCGCCGCAUUAGCUAGUUGGUAAGGUAACGGCUUACCAAGGCAACGAUGCGUAGCCGACCUGAGAGUGUGAUCGGCCACACAGGAACUGAGACACGGUCCAGACUCCUACGGGAGGCAGCAGUAGGGAAUCUUCCGCAAUGGGCGAAAGCCUGACGGAGCAACGCCGCGUGAGUGAUGAAGGUCUUCGGAUCGUAAAACUCUGUUAUUAGGGAAGAACAAAUGUGUAAGUAACUAUGCACGUCUUGACGGUACCUAAUCAGAAAGCCACGGAUAACUCCGUG